CCUUAGAACACCACGACUUUGGAUAGGGCGUCGACAGUGGUGAACGUGACACGAUAAAGCUUUGAGUCGUGCAUGACAAAUGAAGCUACUGAAGCUGCAAGCCUGUUCAUGGGCGUGCAGGAGAGGGAAUGAAAAACCAUGAACUGCACCCGGAGAUGCUCUUGUGAAUACGGUUUCGGACGCGGGUUCAAUUCCCGCCGCCUCCACCA
rnacentral:tmRNA from 1 species